rnacentral:rRNA from 1 species
UUCCCCUAGUAACUGCGAGUGAAGCGGGAAAAGCUCAAAUUUAAAAUCUGUUGGCAUUGGCCAACUGAGUUGUAAUCUAGAGAAGUGUUACCCGUGCUGGACCGUGUACAAGUCUCCUGGAAUGGGGCAUCACAGAGGGUGAGAAUCCCGUCUUUGACAUGGACUACCAGUGCUUUUGUGGUAUGCUCUCAAAGAGUCGAGUUGUUUGGGAAUGCAGCUCAAAAUGGGUGGUAAAUGCCAUCUAAAGCUAAAUAUUGGCGAGAGACCGAUAGCGAACAAGUACCGUGAGGGAAAGAUGAAAAGAACUUUGGAAAGAGAGUUAAACAGUACGUGAAAUUGCUGAAAGGGAAACGCUUGAAGUCAGUCGCGUUGAUUUGGAAUCAACCCUGCUUUUGUUGGGUGUACUUCCUUGUCAACGGGUCAGCAUCAAUUUUGACUGUUGGAUAAAGUUGUUGGGAAUGUGGCAUCUUCGGAUGUGUUAUAGCCCAAUGAUGCAUACAGCAGUUGGGAUUGAGGAACUCAGCAUGCUGAAAGGCCGGGUUUCGACCACGUCCAUGCUUAGGAUGCUGGCAUAAUGGCUUUAAUCGACCCGUCUUGAAACACGGACCAAGGAGUCUAACAUGCCUGCGAGUGUUUGGGUGGAAAACCCAUGCGCGCAAUGAAAGUGAAAGUUGAGAUCCCUUUGGGGAGCAUCGACGCCCGGACCAGACCUUUUGUGACGGAUCCGCGGUAGAGCAUGUAUGUUGGGACCCGAAAGAUGGUGAACUAUGCCUGAAUAGGGUGAAGCCAGAGGAAACUCUGGUGGAGGCUCGUAGCGAUUCUGACGUGCAAAUCGAUCGUCAAAUUUGGGUAUAGGGGCGAAAGACU